GAAAAUAAGUAAAAUUAGGGAUUAAUACAAACUAUUUGGAGAUGCAUUUAUGUAACUCAACUAAUCAAUUGAAAAGAAAUUCACAAUGCAUGACUGAUAACUUCUACUUUGACACAUUAUUACUGCUUGCCUAUUAACGAACAAUUCGCAUCUUCUUUCAAUGAAUUAUAUAAAAUAUAAAAACAAAAAAAGCAGCAGCAAGAUUCAAGAAUCAAGAGUAAACAGCAUAUGUUUUCGUCACCCUUUCCUUCUCAUGCGAGAACGGGAGGCUUGCUGCUGGCACUGAUCUCAGCUUUUGGUUUAGCCCGUUCAUUGUUCUGCUCCUCAUGCUUGGAAAUUUUCAUGUUAAAUCGCUGGAACAUUUGCUCCAAUGCUGAAAUCUCCUCUUCUAUAUCUGCUGGUUGAUCUUUGCUUGAGGCCAUUCUUUGCCUGAAGCUACGGAUCCUUUCAAUACCAGCAAUUACUUCCACCCCAAUUUCUUCCAUCGUCUUCCUAAUUUCAGAGUUUCCCUUUUUUGCAUCUUUGUAUUUCCUUUUUAAAGAUCGAUAACUAUCAAGAGAAUUGAGCAGUUGCUCCGAAAGCACCUUGUUUCGAUCCUGAAGAGCUGCAUUCCCUUGAGCAUCCCCUGCAAUUGUUUUCUUCUCCUUGUGCUCCGCAGCAUGAGAUUGUAGUUUCGUCAACAAUGUAUCAUUUUGUGCCUUGAGGUCACUGACAAGUUCCUCCAUUUCAUUCAAUUCGCUAACCUUCCUGGCAAGUUCACAGGCCAUAAUUUCCUUUUCCUUUCCCAAGCUUGAACACAUAAUUUCUAGGCUCUUUCUUGCAGCCAAGCUUGUACUGAGUUGCUUCCUCAACCUCUCAUUAUCAUCGGUACUCGUCACUGCUUCUUGAUGCUUCUUGUCUCUAGGAGAACGACUAGGCCUAAGUUCUGUGUUGCACCUCCUGAGCUCAGCCAAUCUUUUCCUGGCAGAUUGAGACUUUUCAAUUCGCGAUUUAACAUCAUCUAAGAUGGUGAUCAUUCCAGCGAUCCUUUGCAUUUUCCUGUCAUCAUUAGUGCUCGCUCCAUUAUGCUCUUGAAUUAAUUUUAGCAGCAGCUUCACAUUUGUCGCAAUACCUUCUAAACUAUAAUCUUCUGGCCUUAGAGCUUUCAUAGGAGAAGAAGCUGCCAGUUCUGGAGAUGAGAAUGCUCGAACAUGGGAUAUUUUUUCCAUGAGGGAAAAUCUUGAAGAACAAAAUGGUGUUGGUCUAAGUUAUGGCUUGGCAUCAACCAAGAAAUGUAAUAAGAAGAUGGUGUAUUUAUUAAUAAUUAAUAAUUAUUACAUGGUUAGAAAGAUAAUAAAAGAUUGUAUAGUGCGUGGGGUGCCUUGAGAGAAGAAAAAAGAGAGACGGCCUUCGCACUCUCCCUCCUUUUAUCUCUCUUGGUGUUCUUUAUUUGUUUUGGAUUAGGUUUGCUUCUCUUUGUAAUACAGUCUGGUUUGAUGGUGUUGAAGUCAUUUUGAGAAAAAUGGUUGGUUCUUGGCUUCUUACUUCAAAACCAGGCGUAAUUAUUGCUCAUGGUUUGACUUUUUCAUUGGCCGUUUGUUGCUUUGAUUUUCACUAAAAUGGGCAUAACAUCUACCUAAUUA
rnacentral:misc_RNA from 1 species